CCGCACACAUCUAAGUUGCUAACCUACAGACAAUUGAAUCAGACAAGAAUUGAGAAAAUUUAAUUAAUUUUGUUCAUAUUUGGAAAUGAAUAAACAAUAUGGAAGGUCAUAGUGUUUAAGAUGCUUAUCAGGCAUUUUGUCAAACAUUCGUAGGGCAUAAUUUGUGAAUGUGAUAUCAACAUUACUUUAUUUUGUAAUAACACCCUCACACAGCUUCCAUUCAAACAAACAUAUCUCCAUAUCACCACCACAAAACAAAAUCACAACAUAGAUUAAGCUUCAAAAAUUUAAACUAAACAUGGUUGAAUUCCUCCGAGAAAUCAAAACACUCACCAGAAAGAAGGAAUUCACACUACAAAAAAACAGUCUAUUUGUGGCGGUUUUAUUACGGGGUUAUAAUUAACCUCCACAAAUUGUAUCUAAUUUAGGGGGUCUUAUUGACCUCUGCACUAAAAUUCAAUUUGCGGCGUUUGAAACCUCCCUUAAACUUAAAUUAAAAUUUUGGUGGUGCAAAUCUCAAAACAAUUGCUGUCAAGCAAUCAGACGCACAGUUCUUUCUUUUUGCUUUUCUGCACUAAAAUUCAAUUUCCGUUCUUUCUUUUUACUUUUUUGGCACACACAAGCCCUGAACGAAAUCUUUCCCUCUUUUUUUCCAGAAAUUUUCGCCCACAUAAAAAUUGAAAGGUAAAAAUUUCCACCCACCGCCCACAUCACAGUGCCUGCUCUUCAUUCUAACGAUUUAGGGUUGACUUUCUCCUCCUGAAAUGACAACAAUUACAACUCGAAUUAAAGCGUGUUUGUCGUUGAAUCUCCUGACAAAAGGUACAACUCGAAUUGCAGCUCUCUGCCCUCUCCUUCCUAAUUUGUUUAUAUCCGAUUUUAAUUCCUCUAGGGUUUUGAGUAUGUUUUCCUAAUAUCUGAAUUUAAGUAGUUUCUGCAUGUUAUUUGAUUUAGGUUUCUCUGCUCCAAUUUCAAUAAUUUUUGCAUGUGAUUUGAUUUAGGUUCUCUUUGCUCCUUUUUAUGAUUUUAUUAGCGCGUCGUUUGAGGUUGGUGCUCGAGCAAUCUCUUCAAAGUCAAUGAGUAAAUGUAUUACUUGUAUAUGGAAUUUUCUGCUAACUUUUCGUACGAGUUUAGAUUUUCCCUAGACAUGGUAGUUUAUUUCUCAUACUGUCGUAUUACUACUUUUUGUUCAAGAAAUUUUGUAAAAUGUUAGCAAAAGAAUAUAUCUCUUUGAUAUAUAUGGUAGUCUUCUGGCUUGUGACUAUUUAAUUCCUCAAUUUGAUCCAUUUAUCUCCGUAGACUACUCCAAAAUGUAAACGAUUAAAGUGAGUUCAAAAGGCAUCAACUACAGACGUGCUUUAAAGGGAAUGCAGAAACUUACCAUGUCUAGGUGUAAUUUUGUGAGUGUGCUACUUUAUAUCAUGUUGAUUGCAUUGGUAUUUUCAUGUAGACUGCAAUUGUUUAGCAAAAUAUAAUAACAGUAGUAACAGAAAUUGUCGAGUACAGUUUUAUUUUUUGUUUUGAUAGGUAGAAACUGUUGUGCAUCUUUGUGAGCACAAUGAAAUCUUCCUCACUAAACCUCCGACAAAGUAAAAAAUAAAUCAUUCACAAUAGACAAGCUUUUGGUACAUAAAUUAUUUCGUAGUUAUAGAGGAAAAAACUUUAAAACAUAAAAUAUAAUAUACUUAGUAUACUAGCAGACAUAUAUCACUAUAUUGUAAACUGAAAGGUUUUCAGCAUUUCAAUAGAAAUUGUAUGUGAACUGUUGUACAAAUUGAAUUAAACAAAAAAGUAUAAAUAUAUUCUGAUCCUAUAAACUUUGUUAUUCAAAUCAAGAUAUGAGUAAAUGUACAUCAUAGAUAUUGUUAUAUUCUCAAAUCUCUGUUACCGAUUCCAGUCAAGAACUAUUUGGAAAAAAAUCUCAAGCUUCAGGUGAACUUUUAGCAAAGCAGCAGUUCAUUCCUUUUAAUAACUCUUGUCUCCCCGAGGCACCAAAAUCUCUGCAGUCACUGCCCGAGGAGGAGAGUAAGGGUUGAGUCUUUACUCACUUGGAGUAUUUCCAUGUUCACCAUUGUUGAAUUCUUGGAUUGUCAUAACCAUUUUCCUGAAUUUCAUCAUGUCAGCAUUAUACAUAGCAGUAUCAUAGGCCUGUGCCGCCCCGCUUGAGGCCGCAAAGCUAGGUGUUUCAUCCUCGGAAAGAAACUCUUUAGAAUGAGAUCGUGGUGCAUUCUGUCUUUGAUUGUGGCAGAUCACUAAAAAUAUUGGUAAAUAUCUGCUAGUGUCAUCAAGCAGAUUGACUGAGUACAAUUGCUGCAAGGGUUGAACUGAAUUUGCUUCCUAACUGCUCUUGGUUUUACAUUAAAGAUUUUUGAUUUUGGGAGAUUUUUGAAGCUUCUUCUAUUACGAUCCCUGUCUUCUCAACCAGCAUGAAGAUCAAUAUUUUACAUAGAAAUGAAUUUAGUUAUAAACUCAUUCAGACCAUUGCAACCCCUCUCUAUAAAGUCCCUUAGUAUUGGUCCAUCUGUUGAAUGAUAAUAAUGGAGAAAGCCAAGAAACACAUUGAUAUUUUCUAUAGUACUCUUAGUUUAGUAGUAUAUAUUCAUUUGAAUAUGUUCUCAUGGUUGUUCAUGCUAGAUAACUAGCUAACUUUACAUUCCCUUUUAUUUAGCUUAUAAAAUUGUAAAGUAUGUCUCUGAUCUUAUAAAAUUGACAAGUUACUAAAUUAUUUUUUCUCGUGAAAAUCUUGUAGGUUAUAUCAAACUCUCUUGAUUAGAAGAGUCCUUACUGGUGGCAUACUAACCUGAGUAUAGUAACAUGAGCCCAUUUGCAUGGAUUUUCAUGACUUGGAUUCCAUGAAGAGAAGGAUGCAACAGAAGAGGAAGAGUUAAAAGUGGAAAGCCAUGACAUUAAAUAAAGUCCUUCUUGAUUUAAACCAGAAAUGCCAGUAGGGAAUAAAGAUAUGUUCAGAAACAAGAAGAAUAAGGAAAAAUUGAGCUAGUUGUAAGUCAAAGCGCCACAGAUGAGUCUGAAGUUUCACCAAAUGAUGUCGUUGGUAAGGUGCUAGGAAAAGAGCAUUCUGGAAGGGUAAGGUGCUUGGGGUUAGGAGCUAUCCCGAGUAAAGGUUUUAGACAAAUAAGACGUCAUUUUGGAGGUAUAAAUUCUUCUAGUUGUGAUAAUGGUUCAUGUUCGUCCAAAUGCGAAGAGAAGUACAAAUCAGAUUGUAAAUGCUCACAAUCAAAGCCAAGAGAAGUACAAUCAGAUUGUAAAUGCUCACAAUCAAAGCCAAGAGAACUAUGCUCAAAUGAUGACUGCACACCUCCAAAUGAUGAAUGCUUUCAAGACAUAUAUGAUUAUGAAAGAAGGGACAAUACCUGAACAGUUUGCUGGGAUUUUCGUUUCUCCUCCGGUAGCGCCAAGUGAUGCAGCUAGCGGAUCCAUUUCACCUAUGGGCGUAAGAGGAUCAUCUAUUGAUCGUAAUCUUAAUGAAAAUCAUUGAAUUUCUUUGCAAAUGUAAUAGAUGAUUAAGUAUCAUACUUUACUUGAAUGGUUGAACUAGAUAUUUUGUGUUUAAGUUA